UUAAGCGACUAAGCGUACACGGUGGAUGCCCUGGCAGUCAGAGGCGAUGAAGGACGUGCUAAUCUGCGAUAAGCGUCGGUAAGGUGAUAUGAACCGUUAUAACCGGCGAUUUCCGAAUGGGGAAACCCAGUGUGAUUCGUCACACUAUCAUUAACUGAAUCCAUAGGUUAAUGAGGCGAACCGGGGGAACUGAAACAUCUAAGUACCCCGAGGAAAAGAAAUCAACCGAGAUUCCCCCAGUAGCGGCGAGCGAACGGGGAGCAGCCCAGAGCCUGAAUCAGUGUGUGUGUUAGUGGAAGCGUCUGGAAAGGCGCGCGAUACAGGGUGACAGCCCCGUACACAAAAAUGCACAUACUGUGAGCUCGAUGAGUAGGGCGGGACACGUGGUAUCCUGUCUGAAUAUGGGGGGACCAUCCUCCAAGGCUAAAUACUCCUGACUGACCGAUAGUGAACCAGUACCGUGAGGGAAAGGCGAAAAGAACCCCGGCGAGGGGAGUGAAAAAGAACCUGAAACCGUGUACGUACAAGCAGUGGGAGCCUCUUUAUGGGGUGACUGCGUACCUUUUGUAUAAUGGGUCAGCGACUUAUAUUCUGUAGCAAGGUUAACCGAAUAGGGGAGCCGAAGGGAAACCGAGUCUUAACUGGGCGUUAAGUUGCAGGGUAUAGACCCGAAACCCGGUGAUCUAGCCAUGGGCAGGUUGAAGGUUGGGUAACACUAACUGGAGGACCGAACCGACUAAUGUUGAAAAAUUAGCGGAUGACUUGUGGCUGGGGGUGAAAGGCCAAUCAAACCGGGAGAUAGCUGGUUCUCCCCGAAAGCUAUUUAGGUAGCGCCUCGUGAAUUCAUCUCCGGGGGUAGAGCACUGUUUCGGCAAGGGGGUCAUCCCGACUUACCAACCCGAUGCAAACUGCGAAUACCGGAGAAUGUUAUCACGGGAGACACACGGCGGGUGCUAACGUCCGUCGUGAAGAGGGAAACAACCCAGACCGCCAGCUAAGGUCCCAAAGUCAUGGUUAAGUGGGAAACGAUGUGGGAAGGCCCAGACAGCCAGGAUGUUGGCUUAGAAGCAGCCAUCAUUUAAAGAAAGCGUAAUAGCUCACUGGUCGAGUCGGCCUGCGCGGAAGAUGUAACGGGGCUAAACCAUGCACCGAAGCUGCGGCAGCGACACUAUGUGUUGUUGGGUAGGGGAGCGUUCUGUAAGCCUGUGAAGGUGUGCUGUGAGGUAUGCUGGAGGUAUCAGAAGUGCGAAUGCUGACAUAAGUAACGAUAAAGCGGGUGAAAAGCCCGCUCGCCGGAAGACCAAGGGUUCCUGUCCAACGUUAAUCGGGCAGGGUGAGUCGACCCCUAAGGCGAGGCCGAAAGGCGUAGUCGAUGGGAAACAGGUUAAUAUUCCUGUACUUGGUGUUACUGCGAAGGGGGGACGGAGAAGGCUAUGUUGGCCGGGCGACGGUUGUCCCGGUUUAAGCGUGUAGGCUGGUUUUCCAGGCAAAUCCGGAAAAUCAAGGCUGAGGCGUGAUGACGAGGCACUACGGUGCUGAAGUAACAAAUGCCCUGCUUCCAGGAAAAGCCUCUAAGCAUCAGGUAACAUCAAAUCGUACCCCAAACCGACACAGGUGGUCAGGUAGAGAAUACCAAGGCGCUUGAGAGAACUCGGGUGAAGGAACUAGGCAAAAUGGUGCCGUAACUUCGGGAGAAGGCACGCUGAUAUGUAGGUGAAGUCCCUUGCGGAUGGAGCUGAAAUCAGUCGAAGAUACCAGCUGGCUGCAACUGUUUAUUAAAAACACAGCACUGUGCAAACACGAAAGUGGACGUAUACGGUGUGACGCCUGCCCGGUGCCGGAAGGUUAAUUGAUGGGGUUAGCGGUAACGCGAAGCUCUUGAUCGAAGCCCCGGUAAACGGCGGCCGUAACUAUAACGGUCCUAAGGUAGCGAAAUUCCUUGUCGGGUAAGUUCCGACCUGCACGAAUGGCGUAAUGAUGGCCAGGCUGUCUCCACCCGAGACUCAGUGAAAUUGAACUCGCUGUGAAGAUGCAGUGUACCCGCGGCAAGACGGAAAGACCCCGUGAACCUUUACUAUAGCUUGACACUGAACAUUGAGCCUUGAUGUGUAGGAUAGGUGGGAGGCUUUGAAGUGUGGACGCCAGUCUGCAUGGAGCCGACCUUGAAAUACCACCCUUUAAUGUUUGAUGUUCUAACGUUGACCCGUAAUCCGGGUUGCGGACAGUGUCUGGUGGGUAGUUUGACUGGGGCGGUCUCCUCCUAAAGAGUAACGGAGGAGCACGAAGGUUGGCUAAUCCUGGUCGGACAUCAGGAGGUUAGUGCAAUGGCAUAAGCCAGCUUGACUGCGAGCGUGACGGCGCGAGCAGGUGCGAAAGCAGGUCAUAGUGAUCCGGUGGUUCUGAAUGGAAGGGCCAUCGCUCAACGGAUAAAAGGUACUCCGGGGAUAACAGGCUGAUACCGCCCAAGAGUUCAUAUCGACGGCGGUGUUUGGCACCUCGAUGUCGGCUCAUCACAUCCUGGGGCUGAAGUAGGUCCCAAGGGUAUGGCUGUUCGCCAUUUAAAGUGGUACGCGAGCUGGGUUUAGAACGUCGUGAGACAGUUCGGUCCCUAUCUGCCGUGGGCGCUGGAGAACUGAGGGGGGCUGCUCCUAGUACGAGAGGACCGGAGUGGACGCAUCACUGGUGUUCGGGUUGUCAUGCCAAUGGCACUGCCCGGUAGCUAAAUGCGGAAGAGAUAAGUGCUGAAAGCAUCUAAGCACGAAACUUGCCCCGAGAUGAGUUCUCCCUGACUCCUUGAGAGUCCUGAAGGAACGUUGAAGACGACGACGUUGAUAGGCCGGGUGUGUAAGCGCAGCGAUGCGUUGAGCUAACCGGUACUAAUGAACCGUGAGGCUUAACCUU
rnacentral:rRNA from 1 species